GCGCCUUUAGCUCAGUUGGUAGAGCAACUGACUCUUAAUCAGUAGGUCCCGGGUUCGAGCCCCUGAAGGCGCACCA
rnacentral:tRNA from 1 species